GAUGAACGCUGGCGGCGUGCUUAACACAUGCAAGUCGAACGGAAAGGCCCAAGCUUGCUUGGGUACUCGAGUGGCGAACGGGUGAGUAACACGUGGGUGAUCUGCCCUGCACUUCGGGAUAAGCCUGGGAAACUGGGUCUAAUACCGGAUAGGACGAUGGUUUGGAUGCCAUUGUGGAAAGUUUUUUCGGUGUGGGAUGAGCUCGCGGCCUAUCAGCUUGUUGGUGGGGUAAUGGCCUACCAAGGCGUCGACGGGUAGCCGGCCUGAGAGGGUGUACGGCGACAUUAGGACUGAGAUACGGCCCAGACUCCUACGGGAGGCAGCAGUGGGGAAUAUUGCACAAUGGGCGCAAGCCUGAUGCAGCGACGCCGCGUGGGGGAUGACGGCCUUCGGGUUGUAAACACCUUUCGCUAGGGACGAAGCGUUUUUGUGACGGUACCUGGAGAAGAAGCACCGGCUAACUACGUG
rnacentral:rRNA from 1 species